rnacentral:rRNA from 1 species
GAACCAAACUACCUUAACGAGUAGCAUGGAACACGAGAAAUUCUGUGUGAAAAUAGGAGGCCCACCUCCUAAGGCUAAAUACUACUUGGUGACCGAUAGUGGACCAGUACCGUGAGGGAAAGGUGAAAAGAACCCCGGAAGGGGAGUGAAAUAGAAUCUGAAACCCUAUGCUUACAAGCAGAGAAAGCACAUUAAAAGUGUAAUCUCGUACUUUUUGUAGAACGGGCCAGCGAGUUAUUGUAUAUAGCAAGAUUAAACCAUUAAGUGGUGGAGUCGAAGGGAAACCGAGUCUUAAGAGGGCGUAGAGUUAUAUAUAAUAGACCCGAAACCGGGUGAUCUAUCCAUGGGCAGGGUGAAAUAGCGGUAAAACGCUAUGGAGGCCCGAACCGGGUAUGGUUUAAAACAUAUCGGAUGACCUGUGGAUAGGGGUGAAAAGCCAAACGAACUCGGAUAUAGCUGGUUCUCCUCGAAAUAGCUUUAGGGCUAGCCUUUAGGAAAUUUAAUGGAGGUAGAGCACUGACUGGUUGCGGGGCGUGUAUACGCUACCAACACCCAACCAGGAUGUUGGCUUAGAAGCAGCCAUACAUUUAAAGAGUGCGUAAUAGCUCACUGGUCAAGUGAUUUUGCGCCAAAGAUUUCCGGGGCUAAAUCUGAUACCGAAGUCGUGGACUUGUAAUAACAAGUGGUAGAGGAGCAUUGUAUGAAGGCUGAAGCAGUACCGAAAGGAGCUGUGGACAUCAUAGAAGAGAGAAUGCUGGCAUAAGUAGCGAUAAGGCGAGUGAGAAUCUCGCCCGUCGAAAACCUAAGGAUUCCUGGGCAAGGCUCGUCCCCCCAGGGUAAGUCGGGACCUAAGGCCAGGCUGAAAAGCGUAGCCGAUGGACAACAGGUUGAAAUUCCUGUACUAUCUUAAAUCGCAACUAGCAACGUGGGGACGCAGGAGGAUAGCCUUACCGUACAGCAAGGAAAAGUACGGCUAAAUAACAAGCGAGAGCCUACAGGGAAAACCGUAGACUUGCUAAAGUGAGUUAUGAUGGGGAUCGAAAAACAAGUAGAGAAGAAGCACUAUUCACACUGCCAAGAAAAACCACUAGCGAGAUGAAAAGAUACCCGUACCGCAAACCGACACAGGUAGGAAAGGAGAGAAUCCUAAGACGCGCGGAAGAACCUUUGUUAAGGAACUCGGCAAAAUGACCCCGUAACUUAGGGAGAAGGGGAACCGGUGGGGGCAACCCAUCGGUCGCAGUGAAUAGGCCCAAGCGACUGUUUACCAAAAACACAAGUUUCUGCUAAGUCGUAAGACGAAGUAUAGGAGCUGACACCUGCCCGGUGCUGGAAGGUUAAGGGGAAGGCUUAGCGUAAGCGAAGGCUAGAACUUAAGCCCCAGUAAACGGCGGCCGUAACUAUAACGGUCCUAAGGUAGCGAAAUUCCUCGUCGGGUAAGUUCCGACCCGCACGAAAGGUGUAACGAUUUGGGCACUGUCUCAACAAAGGAUCCGGUGAAAUUGUAGUAUGCGUGAAGAUGCGCAUUACCCGCG